GGAGAUAUAGCUUAAGUAGUAGAGUGCAUGCUUAGGAUGCAUGAGGUCCUGGGUUCAAUCCCCACUCCCUUCU
rnacentral:tRNA from 1 species